rnacentral:tRNA from 1 species
GGGCGAUUAGCUCAGCCGGUAGAGCAGCUGACUCUUAAUCAGCGGGUCGAGGGUUCGAGUCCCUCAUCGCCCACCA